GACGAACGCUGGCGGCGUGCUUAACACAUGCAAGUCGAACGGAAAGGCCCUGCUUUUGUGGGGUGCUCGGGUGGCGAACGGGUGAGUAACACGUGAGUAACCUGCCCUUGACCUUGGGAUAACUUCAGGAAACUGGGGCUAAUACCGGAUAGGAGCUCCUGCUGCAUGGUGGGGGUUGGAAAGUUUCGGCGGUUGGGGAUGGACUCGCGGCUUAUCAGCUUGUUGGUGGGGUAGUGGCUUACCAAGGCUUUGACGGGUAGCCGGCCUGAGAGGGUGACCGGCCACAUUGGGACUGAGAUACGGCCCAGACUCCUACGGGAGGCAGCAGUGGGGAAUAUUGCACAAUGGGCGGAAGCCUGAUGCAGCAACGCCGCGUGCGGGAUGACGGCCUUCGGGUUGUAAACCGCUUUCGCCUGUGACGAAGCGUGAGUGACGGUAAUGGGUAAAGAAGCACCGGCUAACUACGUG
rnacentral:rRNA from 1 species